rnacentral:rRNA from 1 species
ACGAACGCUGGCGGCGUGCUUAACACAUGCAAGUCGAGCGGUAAGGCCCUUUCGGGGGUACGACGAGCGGCGAACGGGUGAGUAACACGUGGGUGGACCUGCCCUCAGCUCUGGGAUAAGCCUGGGAAACCGGGGUCUAAUACCGGAUAUGACUCCAUGACGCAUGUUGGUGGGGUGGAAAGCCUUGUGCGGCUGAGGAUGGGCCCGCGGCCUAUCAGCUUGUUGGUGGGGUGANGGCCUACCAAGGCGACGACGGGUAGCCGGCC